GGGGAAUAUUGGACUAUGGGCGAAAGCCUGAUCCAGCCAUGCCGCGUGUGUGAAGAAGGUCUUCGGAUUGUAAAGCACUUUAAGUUGUGAGGAAUGGCUGCAAGUUAAUACCUUGUAGUUUUGACGUUACCAACAGAAUAAGCACCGGCUAACUUCGUGCCAGCAGCCGCGGUAAUACGAAGGGUGCAAGCGUUAAUCGGAAUUACUGGGCGUAAAGCGCGCGUAGGUGGUUUGGUAAGAUGGAUGUGAAAUCCCCGGGCUCAACCUGGGAACAGCAUCCAUAACUGCCUGACUAGAGUACGGUAGAGGGUGGUGGAAUUUCCUGUGUAGCGGUGAAAUGCGUAGAGAUGUGGAGGAACACCAAUGGCGAAGGCAUCCCCCUGGGUCGAUACUGACGCUCAUGCACGAAAGCGUGGGGAGCAAACA
rnacentral:rRNA from 1 species